AACGAACGCUGGCGGCAUGCCUAACACAUGCAAGUCGAACGAGACCUUCGGGUCUAGUGGCGCACGGGUGCGUAACGCGUGGGAACCUGCCCUUAGGUUCGGAAUAACUCCCCGAAAGGGGUGCCAAUACCGGAUAAUGUCUUCGGACCAAAGAUUUAUCGCCUUUGGAUGGGCCCGCGUUGGAUUAGCUAGUUGGUAGGGUAAAAGCCUACCAAGGCGACGAUCCAUAGCUGGUCUGAGAGGAUGAUCAGCCACACUGGGACUGAGACACGGCCCAGACUCCUACGGGAGGCAGCAGUGGGGAAUAUUGGACAAUGGGCGAAAGACUGAUCCAGCCAUGCCGCGUGAGUGAUGAAGGCCUUAGGGUUGUAAAGCUCUUUUACCCGGGAUGAUAAUGACAGUACCGGGAGAAUAAGCUCCGGCUAACUCCGUG
rnacentral:rRNA from 1 species